GCGGCAUGCCUUACACAUGCAAGUCGGACGGCAGCGCGGGCUUCGGCCUGGCGGCGAGUGGCGAACGGGUGAGUAAUACAUCGGAACGUGUCCAGUAGUGGGGGAUAGCCCGGCGAAAGCCGGAUUAAUACCGCAUACGAUCUGUGGAUGAAAGCGGGGGACCUUCGGGCCUCGCGCUACAGGGGCGGCCGAUGGCAGAUUAGGUAGUUGGUGGGGUAAAGGCCUACCAAGCCGACGAUCUGUAGCUGGUCUGAGAGGACGACCAGCCACACUGGGACUGAGACACGGCCCAGACUCCUACGGGAGGCAGCAGUGGGGAAUUUUGGACAAUGGGGGCAACCCUGAUCCAGCAAUGCCGCGUGUGUGAAGAAAGCCUUCGGGUUGUAAAGCACUUUUGUCCGGAAAGAAAACUUCGGGGCUAAUACCCCUGGAGGAUGACGGUACCGGAAGAAUAAGCACCGGCUAACUACGUGCCAGCAGCCGCGGUAAUACGUAGGGUGCGAGCGUUAAUCGGAAUUACUGGGCGUAAAGCGUGCGCAGGCGGUGCUGUAAGACCGAUGUGAAAUCCCCGGGCUUAACCUGGGAACUGCAUUGGUGAC
rnacentral:rRNA from 1 species